AUGUUUGCAAUGAAGGGGACAUGAAUUAUUUUUACGGUUUUCAGAGAGGGAAGGAUUUGCUGUGACCUUCCUAGCUUAGGGAAAUAAUUUACCGCCUCUGAGCUGUAUUGGGGAACCUAAGUAUCCAAUACCGUCCAUGCUGCGUUACAGCACCAAAGCCAUAAGUUAUCUUUUUAGCUUAUGGGAAAUUGGGUGGAACCACGGGUAUAUCGCACUCGUCCCUUAC
rnacentral:ncRNA from 1 species